GGACGAACGCUGGCGGCGUGCUUUACACAUGCAAGUCGAGCGAUGAGAUCACUUCGGGUGAAAGGAUUAGCGGCGAACGGGUGAGGAACACGUGAGGAAUCUGCCUUCUACACUGGGAUAACUCCGGGAAACCGGGGCUAAUACCGGAUAUGAAACUUGGUGGCAUCACCGAGUUUGGAAAGUUUUUCGGUAGAAGAUGACCUCGCGGCCUAUCAGCUUGUUGGUGAGGUAAUGGCUCACCAAGGCGACGACGGGUAGCCGGCCUGAGAGGGCGACCGGCCACACUGGGACUGAGACACGGCCCAGACUCCUACGGGAGGCAGCAGUGGGGAAUAUUGGGCAAUGGAGGAAACUCUGACCCAGCGACGCCGCGUGCGGGAUGAAGGCCUUCGGGUUGUAAACCGCUUUCAGUAGGGAAGAAGCGAAAGUGACGGUACCUACAGAAGAAGCACCGGCUAACUAUGUG
rnacentral:rRNA from 1 species